UACGAAGGGGGCUAGCGUUGCUCGGAAUUACUGGGCGUAAAGCGCACGUAGGCGGAUUGUUAAGUCGGGGGUGAAAUCCUGGAGCUCAACUCCAGAACUGCCUUCGAUACUGGCGAUCUCGAGUUCGGGAGAGGUGAGUGGAACUGCGAGUGUAGAGGUGAAAUUCGUAGAUAUUCGCAAGAACACCGGUGGCGAAGGCGGGUCUCUGGGCCGUAACUGACGCUGAGGAGCGAAAGCAUGGGGAGCGAACAGG
rnacentral:rRNA from 1 species